CUUAGUAACGGCGAGUGAAGCGGUAAAAGCUCAAAUUUGAAAUCUGGUACUUUCAGUGCCCGAGUUGUAAUUUGUAGAAUUUGUCUUUGAUUAGGUCCUUGUCUAUGUUCCUUGGAACAGGACGUCAUAGAGGGUGAGAAUCCCGUUUGGCGAGGAUACCUUUUCUCUGUAAGACUUUUUCGAAGAGUCGAGUUGUUUGGGAAUGCAGCUCAAAGUGGGUGGUAAAUUCCAUCUAAAGCUAAAUAUUGGCGAGAGACCGAUAGCGAACAAGUACAGUGAUGGAAAGAUGAAAAGAACUUUGAAAAGAGAGUGAAAAAGUACGUGAAAUUGUUGAAAGGGAAGGGCAUUUGAUCAGACAUGGUGUUUUUUGCAUGCACUCGCCUCUCGUGGGCUUGGGCCUCUCAAAAAUUUCACUGGGCCAACAUCAAUUCUGGCAGCAGGAUAAAUCAUUAAGAAUGUAGCUACUUCGGUAGUGUUAUAGCUUUUUGGAAUACUGUUUUUUUUGUAUUUUUUUACUGU
rnacentral:rRNA from 1 species